rnacentral:rRNA from 1 species
GCUGGCGGCACGCCUAACACAUGCAAGUCGAACGAAGUAGCAAUACUUAGUGGCAGACGGGUGAGUAACAUGUAGGUAUCUACCCUUUGGCCUGGAAUAACACGAGGAAACUUGUGCUAAUACCGGAUAAGUCUUUACGGAGAAAGCUUUAUGCACCAUUGGAUGAGCCUGCACUUGAUUAGUUUGUUGGUGGGGUAAUGGCCUACCAAGACUGUGAUCAAUAGCUGAUUUGAGAGGAUGAUCAGCCACAUUGGGACUGAGACACGGCCCAAACUCCUACGGGAGGCAGCAGUGGGGAAUCUUGCACAAUGGAGGAAACUCUGAUGCAGCGAUGCCGCGUGAGUGAAGAAGGCCUUUGGGUUGUAAAGCUCUUUCGUCGGGGAAGAAAAUGACUGUACCCGAAUAAGAAGGUCCGGCUAACUUCGUGCCAGCAGCCGCGGUAAUACGAAGGGACCUAGCGUAGUUCGGAAUUACUGGGCUUAAAGAGUUCGUAGGUGGUUGAAAAAGUUGGUGGUGAAAUCCCAGAGCUUAACUCUGGAACUGCCAUCAAAACUUUUCAGCUAGAGUAUGAUAGAGGAAAGCAGAAUUUCUAGUGUAGAGGUGAAAUUCGUAGAUAUUAGAAAGAAUACCAAUUGCGAAGGCAGCUUUCUGGAUCAUUACUGACACUGAGGAACGAAAGCAUGGGUAGCGAAGAGGAUUAGAUACCCUCGUAGUCCAUGCCGUAAACGAUGUGUGUUAGACGUUGGAAAUUUAUUUUCAGUGUCGCAGUGAAAGCGAUAAACACACCGCCUGGGGAGUACG